UGACGCGGCUGAAUGCGGAAAGAACAGAACGGGAGAUUCCGUGUGAGAGCAGAAAGUCAAGAUGUGCUGGAAGCGGUUUGACAGCUGCAGAUCCGGGUCUGAUGGAAGCGGGAGUAGCCGUGGCGUCUCCCUUUCUCUCCCACCUUCCUCCAGUACCGCUCCGCUGGAUGAGGGGGUAGAGCAGGCAGCCUGUGGCGGGUGUGAAGGCCUGAUCGACUUGUUCAGCUGGGCUAGAAUGGAUCCUUCCCCACGCCACUAUAGCUGAGGAGCCCAGCCUGAUGGAGGCGUGGUGCUUGGCCUGGUCGUUCAGGAUGGUGGUCUCAAACGCCUCCUGUAAUCGGGUAGUUUACUUUAGUGAGGCUAGGCCUUCCUGGAGCUCCUAGUGAAGCUGAAUCAUACAACCUUUUAAGCCACUGUCACGAAUUCAGCCGAGGCUGCUCCUCCUCCUUGCUCGGGCAGGCUUUGGCGUUCGUCGUCACCGGAGUACUAGCUGCCACCGAUCUAUGUUUCUGUGUUCUACUUGUUUUGUCUAUAUUGCACACACCUGGUUCCAAUUACGAUAAUUGUCCCUAUUUUACCCUCUGGUUCCCUCAUGGUGUUGUGCGUGAUUGUUCGUUGUUUUGUUGUCAUUGACAUGUGAGUCGGUAUUAUCUUCCCUGCAUGGAAGAUAUGUUUAUUUACUUUUGACAAGUAAAGUACGUCGUUGACUAAA